rnacentral:rRNA from 1 species
ACCGGCAGCUCAAGUGGUGGCCAUUUUUAUUGGGCCUAAAGCGUUCGUAGCCGGUUUGAUAAGUCUCUGGUGAAAUCCCGCAGCUUAACUGUGGGACUUGCUGGAGAUACUAUUAGACUUGAGGUCGGGAGAGGUUAGGGGUACUCCCAGGGUAGGGGUGAAAUCCUAUAAUCCUGGUAGUCCCUCCUUUGUCUAAGGCGCCUAACUUUCUCCCACCUCUCUUUGUUUCCCCUUCUCCUUUUUCUCCUUCCG